GGCGGUGACACACGCGGACGCCGGGGAGCUCCUCGCCCAGAAACAAAGUCGCAUACCCCCCUCCCAAGUGUUUGCUUCGAAAUCGCUGCGUACAGCCCCCCCCCCCCCCCCGCCCGUCUUGCCGAGCAGCUCCCGCCCCCCUAACCCGAAAGUUUGCAAGAGGAAGAGAGCGCGCGGCGAACAAGCGGGCAAGGGGCAGCGGCAGCGGCGCCGCCAGGGACCAUGGUGCUGCCGGCGCCUCCUCCGCGGGCGUGAAGGCGGCGCUCCCACUCUCCCCUCGGACUCCGCGGUGUCCCAGGAGCUUCUGCUGACAAUUCCAGUUUCCACACGCAACAUUUGGGCAAUGGUGAGGGCUUCGGUCCCUUCUUUGGUUUGCUGUCAACCAUGAAUGGAUGGAUUUGAUGCCUGCUGGCCAAAAGGGUGAGUGAACAUUUAUGAUUAUUCGUCUGAAAAUUCACCAGACCAAACGUCAGCUCAAAGGGGUCCUACCCAGUGCAGGAAACUGAAACAGCCCCAAGUGCAUCAGAACAAUUACACUGAAGAUGAGAGACUCGCAUUUUGAAAUAAGAGACACCCUGUCAUUGCUUUCUGCUACAACCUUUCCGGAUAACUCAUACAGUGAUCUGAGGGUUUAUGAAAGGCCUGAUAGGACACGGGAGAAUUUUUGUUUGCAUGACUCUCUUACGCAUACUCUGAAGGGUGAACUACCAAAAUUUUGAGCUACAUGUACAAUUGGAAGGGUAGUUGCUUUUUUGGUCCCGUUAAACCUUGGCGAUGAAAUGAACCACCAUGAAAUAAGAUGGUAGUUGGAUAAAUAAGACAUCUGAAGUCAUGGUGGGGGGCGGAUUUAAGUCUGCUUUGUUCACUGAGAAGGUCCCCUCCCAAGCCUUCCACGUGAUUAGGGCUCUUGAGAAAGCUAAGGGAUUGGGAACUGUGGACUCUCAAAGGUUCUCAGAAAGACUUACACACAUUUUCUUCUAUCGUAUUUCUCCUUAUCAGGUUAUUCAUUGUAAUUUUUAAGGGGAGGUUAGAAAGGGAUGUGAUGUUUUUCUGUCAUAUGCGUUUUCCAUAUUUGAUAGUAUCUCACGUUCCUCAGAAAUCGCUGGCUCCCCUGCAGUAAUGAAUGAACAGUUGUGACUUGCCUUUAUCAGAGACAGUAGAUGGUUGAGGCCAGGUGUAUUGGGCAAAAACUGAGAUCAUUUGGUGGUAGCUUUGUCAUAAAAUGAGGUAAACUUUAUGCAGACCCAUUUAGUUUCAGUUUUGUACUGCAUGGCCUUUCACGAUAAGAACCAUUGGCAUAAAAUCAUCUUGUUUGUCAUAGUGGAGUUGAUUUCAAAACAGAUUCUAUUUAAUGGAGGAAAGGAUAGUGAAGGAGAAAGCAUUUUUGGAAAUUGGGAGGCA
rnacentral:lncRNA from 1 species